AGUAUAUUAUAGGUAUCAAGGUGGGUGUAGCCAAGUGGUUAAGGCAGUGGGUUGUGAUUCCGCCAUCCGCGGG
rnacentral:tRNA from 1 species